rnacentral:piRNA from 1 species
UAAGUGGAUCAGGGUUUAAAUGCAUGGAGU